UUCUUUCUUUCCCCAAUUAGUAACACUGAGAUUGAGACCUCUGAAGGAAAUAGAAAUGGCAAAACCCUAGCCCCUUAUUGCUGCCCCCGUCCCAAGCUCCUCAGCGCCGCCGGCGUCCCAAGCUCCUUAGUGCGGUCGUUUCUUCCUCUUUCCUGUUUUGCAAAACCCAGAAAGCUCAGCACAUCGUCUUCAUCUUCGUUGGUUUCUCUGUUCGUCGAAGGUUAGUGGCUUCCGCUAUUGGGGUACUGUGCUUGUUAAGACCUCUCCUUACACCUUCUCCGCUAUUGGCAUCGUCGUCUCCAUCGGUGUCUCAGUUCUCGGUGCUACUUGGGGGAUUUACAUAACUAGUAGCAGCUUGAUUGGUGCUACAAUCAAGGCUCCCUGAAUCACUUGCACGAAUCUCAUUAGGUCUAUUUCAUGAGUCUUUACCUCCAUAAAUUGAUGAUGUUUUUGGUUUCUAAAGUCUAAUCUGUCCCUUUGAGCUCGUCAGUUUUGCAACAUUGACUCGGAUAAUUUUUUCGUACUGGUAAAGACAACAGGAGUUGAGUAGUUUCUGCAGCACCGUUUAUAACAACUUCAUAUGGCAUCUCAAAAUGAAGGAACUAAGCAGUAAUUUCUGGCUGAAAUUGAGGGACUUGAGCAAAACUCUGAAAAAGGCUGACAAAAGGACUGCUGAUGCUGUUAGAAUCUGACCUCCCUGCACUCAAAAUAGAUUUUCUGGAGCUACAGAACUCCAAAUGGCGCGCUCUUAACGGUGUUGGAAAGUAGACAUCCAGAGCUUUCCAGCAAUAUAUAAUAGUCCAUAAUUUAUUCGAAAAUUGACGACGUAACUUGGCGUUGAACGCCAAGUACAUGCUGCUGUCUGGAGUUAAACGCCAGAAAAACAUCAUGAUCCGGAGUUGAACGCCCAAAACACGUUAUAACUUGGAGUUCAACUCCAAGAAAAGCCUCAGCUCGUGGAUAGAUCAAGCUCAGCCCAAACAUACACCAAGUGGGCCCCGGAAGUGGAUUUAUGCAUCAAUUACUUACUCAUGUAAACCCUAGGAGCUAGUUUAUUAUAAAUAGAACUUUUUACUAUCAUAAUCGCAUCCUGGAUUGUAUUUUGAAUCCUGUGAUCACGUUUUGGGGGCUGGCCAUUCGGCCAUGCCUGAACCUUUCACUUAUGUAUUUUCAACAGUGGAGUUUCUGCACACCAUAGAUUAAUGAUGUGGAGCUCUGCUGUACCUCAAGUUUCAAUACAAUUACUAUUACUUUCUAUUCAAUUCUCUUUUAUUCUUAUUCCAAGAUAUACGUUGCACUUCAACUUGAUGAAUGUGAUGAUCCGUGACACUCAUCAUCAUUCUCACCUAUGAACGCGCGUGAUUGACAACCACUUCCGUUCUACCUUAGGCCGGGCGCAUAUCUCUUAGAUUCCCCAACAGAAUCUUCGUGGUAUAAGCUAGAUAGAUGGCGGCAUUCAUGAGGAUCCGGAAAGUCUAAACCUUGUCUGUGGUAUUCCGAGUAGGAUUCUGGGAUUGAAUGACUGUGACGAGCUUCAAACUCGCGAUUGAUGGGCGUGAUGACAAGCGCAAAAGGAUCAAUGGAUCCUAUUCCAACAUGAUCGAGAACCAACAGCUGAUUAGCCGUGCUGUGACAGAGCAUAGGAACGUUUUCACUGAGAGGAUGGGAUGUAGCCACUGACAACGGUGAUGCCCUACAUACAGCUUGCCAUGGAAAGGAGUAAGAAGGAUUGGAUGAAUGUAAUAGGAAAGUAGAGAUUCAAGAGGAGCACAGCAUCUCCAUACACUUAUCUGAAAUUCCCACUAUUAAUUUACAUAAGUAUCUCUAUCCAUUUUAUUUUCUAUUUAUUUUUAUUGAUCAUAUUUGAUUUUCUAAAUUCCAUAAUUUUAUCCUCCUGACUGGGAUUUACAAGAUGACCAUAGCUUGCUUCAUACCAACAAUCUCUGUGGGAUCGACCCUUACUCACGUAAGGUAUUACUUGGACGACCCAGUACACUUGCUGGUUAGUUGAACGGAGUUGUGUCCACACAUAAGUGCCAUAAUAAUGAUUCCAUACAACAACAAAAAAUACUACAUUGAUGUGAUCACAAUUUCAUCCACCAACACCAUACAGCUCAUUCAGAGAGAGAUGAUGAUGAAAAAUCGUCCAAUGAAUGUACCUGAACUGCAUUUUAGAAAAUUAGUUCAAUUUUGGAAUCUUGAU